rnacentral:lncRNA from 1 species
AGGAAACCUGAGAACAGGAACAGAGAGAAGCCCAUGCUUUUGCCUCUAAUUGGGAGAGAGUGUCACCGUUUGCAAGCCUCCAUCUUUGAGCAAGGCACCAAACCAUGGUUAUGACUGUGGCUGGGGAAACCUGUUUAAAUGCGGAGUGAGGGCUUCAGAGCAUCUGAGAUGAAGGAUUGUUUUAUUUACGUUUUCCAUCUUAACUCUAUGACUAUUGCCUCACAUUCGAAGACCUGGUAUUUCCUAAGAGGUGAGGAUAUCUGGAGAAAAUGGAUCCCUCAAGGCCAGCUCAGGUAUAUAUUACACGGAGCCAACUCCUGUGCUGGAAUGUUCCCUUCAGACCUGAAAGCCACACCAGGAAGGAAAUCAGUGUCAGAGCUGAAGAUGUGGCCUCCCAGCUUCCUGCUAUUCUCAGCCUCUGCAAUUCCUCUCCUGCUCUUGUGAACUCUCUCCCUGGAACUAUAAACCAAAAUAAACUCACUGCCCCAUAA